CUACGGGUCGCAGCAAUGAGGAAUAUUGCACAAUGGGGGGAACCCUGAUGCAGCAACGCCGCGUGGAGGAUGACGCAUUUCGGUGUGUAAACUCCUCUUAUAUGUCAAGAAAAUGACGGUAGCAUAUGAAUAAGCACCGGCUAACUCCGUGCCAGCAGGCCGCGGUAAUACGGAGGGUGCAAGCGUUACUCGGAAUCACUGGGCGUAAAGGACGCGUAGGCGGGUUGGAAAGUCAGGUGUGAAAUCCUACAGCUUAACUGUAGAACUGCACUUGAAACUUCUAAUCUAGAGUAUGGGAGGGGGAGAUGGAAUUAGUGGUGUAGGGGUAAAAUCCGUAGAUAUCACUAGGAAUACCUAAAGCGAAGGCGAUCUCCUGGAACAUUACUGACGCUAAGGCGUGAAAGCGUGGGGAGCAAACAGGAUUAGAUACCCCAGUAGUC
rnacentral:rRNA from 1 species